rnacentral:lncRNA from 1 species
AAUUCUUUCUUUGCAUUAGCUAUUUCAUAUGUUUCAGAUGAUUUAGAUGCAUGCUUAUACUCCUAUCUAUACCAGGUGCAUGUGUUGUGCUUGUGUACCUAUAUACAGAAUAGUACCCAUGUGUAAAUGGGUGUAUGUGUUCUGCUUAUAGUAGACGUUUAGUAAAUGUGCUAUCAAUGGCCUAUUUCUUCUUGCAGGUUAUGGACUAUAUCUUUCCUUGCUAAUUCCCUCUCUCUUAAAUCUGAUUUGAACAGAUGCUACACUGGUCUCUUCACUUUCUUUCUCUCCUACUCUCACUGAUAAGAACAGGUGCUCCUUAAUCUUGCCAUGCCAAUGAUGGUGUCCUGAGGCUCUCAUCGUUACUUAACAACAGAUGCUGCACUACUUGAUCCAAUGAUGCAAUAGUCCUAGCACUACUAGGCUGCCUGAGGACAAUCCCUACUUCAAACCCUACCUCUGGGCUAGUUGAUUAGUAGUGGGUUAGUUGGAUUUCAUCUGAAAACUAACCCAAGCUUAAUUGAGGGAUCCCCUAAUCAUGGAGUUAGUGCUAGUUUGAGUUGAUCUUUGGGUUUUGCUUUGAUCUAUACUUUGCUGGCUCUACUUCUGUCUUCGGUUAUUGGCUCCAUUUAUGUAGUGUUGGCUCUCUUCUACUGUUUCUUUGACCAACUUAAUUUGAUUGGAUUUAGACUAAUGUUUCCAAACUCCUAAGUGCUAGCUCCUACAGCAAAGGCAUUUUGCUAAGGGGAAUGCUACAUUUAAACCUUGAUCAAGUUUUUCCUGUUUGUUCUUUCUUGUUUUGCAGGUUGAUGAACUGGAAGAAAGAAGCAGAAGAUGAAGAACUAGAUAGUUUAGUAUAGGUUUAGUGUAGGACCUUUUCUUUCUCUUUUAUUUCUUUUUCCUCUAAGUGUAAUUCCUGAAUGCUUGUAAUUGACAUUUAUAUUAAUAAAGUCUAUUGUUUAUUACUCAGACCAAAUAAUUGUAGCGUUCCAUAUAUUGUGAAUAUAGCUUCUUUUAUUCACUUUUUGCAAUAUAACUUGUUUUAUUUAUUCAUCAAUAUAGAUUUGCAUAUAUUCCUACAGCAAAGCCCUAGGCAUAAAUGCCAUGUGGUAGCUCCUAGCCGAGGACUAUGCCUAUGGCAAAGCUGUCGGCAUAGAUCAUCUAUGCCUACGGCUUUGCCGUAGGCAUAGUACUCAGCCAGGAGCAACCUUGAGCUGCCACGUGGCAGGACUAUGCCGACGGCAAAGCCGUAGGCAUAGUUUCGCCAUGUGGCAGCUCCUGGUUGGUUGGACUUAGCGACGGCGCCGUCAGCUGCCGUCUCGUCCUUUUUUUUGCCGACGGUGAAACUAUGCCGACGGCUGUACGGAAGCCGUCGGCAUAGCUGCCUAUGCCGACGGCUUUAGUACACCGACGGUCUGACAAGAGUACGCUGACGCAUUCUAUGCCGAUGGGGAUAUGCCGACGGCAGCCGUAGGCAUAGGCCUAUGCCGACGGCAUUGUGGCCUAUGCCGAUGGCCUUGGGCCGUAGGCAUAGCUGCUGAUUCCGGUAGUGCCCUAAGCACACGUUGAACUAUUGAAGAGGAUGGAUGACCAAGUCGAUCGUGCCACCGUGAUGAAGAUAUUUUGAUGGCACCGUAUGCAUGUUUAUUCGACGUUCUAGAAGAGAUCAAUGGAUAGAGUCCUCCUCUACACCCUUAAUGAAAAAGAAAUAAGGCCAAAACUCAAUAUAAACAUGAUUGUCAAGAGUAAGCCGAUGAAUAGAAAGAAGGUUUUGUGAGGCGGUGGGAACAUGCAGAAUAUUGUUUAGAUGAAAAUUGUGAUCUUGGGACUUGACAAUGGAAUGUCCAAUAUGGCUAAUGCUCAUACCUGUACCUUCAGCAGUGUAGACUUGAUCACCACCACGAUACUUGUCGCGGGUGGUGAGCUUCUCGAGCUCGCCGGUGAUGUGGUUGGUAGCACCACUGUCCGCAUACCAGUUGGUAUCUAUCCCGUAGGAGUAUGUUGUUGCAAAUGCUCCCACCUUCUCUUCUGGAAGGUAGUCCUUGGUGAAGCGGUACCAGCACUCCAUGGCGAUAUGGCCCGACUUGCUGCAGAUCUGACAGCGCGGGCUGUUGUCGUUGCGGAAGCCACCACCGUUUGGUCCUGGGCCGCCUGGUCCUCCCGGUUCUCCUGGCGCUGCCGUUGCCGUUGGUGUAGCCGCGACCUUGGCCAUUAGUGCCACGACCGCCGCUUCUUCCACGGGACGCCCCACGUCCACGCUGAUAGCCGCGCCCGCGAGCAGCAGCAUUAGCGGAGGACUUGAAUCCACCGCUGCUGCCGGAGCCUUGGAAUAGCUCCAUCCUCUGAUCAAAAUUCGCCAUCUGCGAGUACAAGCCGUUGAGAGUGAUGGGUUCAGGGCGAGCAUCAAGAGCAGAUACCAGAGGAUUGUAGUCGAGGUCGAAGCCGGCCAGGAUGAAGGAGAUGAGUUCAUCGUCUUGCAUGGGUCUCCCGGCAGCCGCAAGCUCAUCGGCAAGCGACCGCAUGCGGGCGAAGUAGACGGGGACGGACUGAUUGCCCUUUUCUGCGUUGGUGAGGGCGAUGCGAAGGUUGUUGACGCGGGAGCGGGACUGCGAGGAGAACAUGUUCUUCAACGCAGUCCAGGCUGAGUGCGCCGUCUCGACAGAGACCAUCUGCGUCAGGACUUCCUUGGAGACGGAGUUCAGCAGAUACGCUAGCACCUGCUGGUCCUGGAUGACCCAGGUCGCGUGCAGCGGGUUAGGCGCGUCCGUGGGCUUGCCCUCCUUGUCGACGAGAAAUUUUUCUGGUUCAGGAGUGGAUCCAUCAAGGUAUCCAUGGAGGUUAAUUAGCUCCUCGGACCUGAGGAAGAAACUGGGUCUUCCACAGAAGGUAGUUUUCUCGGGUAAGUUUCUCCGUGAUUUGGCUGGUGAGGGGGUUGAUUGCAGCGUGGGAUGAGGAGGCCAUGGCUAUGGAAAAGGAAAGCUAGAUGUAUUUGGAAGGAAGGCUCUGAUUACCAUGUAAAUAUGGAAGCGUUUCAACCUACCGUAGUAGGCCGUGGGUUACGUGUUUAUAUAGGAUCAGAAAAGCCCUAGAUCACGGCAUAUACAAGGAAACUUGGAGUACAAGAUGAUCACGAGAUAACUACAAAAUAUAACAGCUAGGCAGGUUCGGUUUAGCCUUAUCUCUGACUUAAACCGAACAUACAAUAAUAUCUCGAAGAUUCAUUCUAGACUAUUCUUAACACCGAAAUCCAUGAGAGUUAUCCGGCCAAUAUUCGUAAGCAUUGUUUCAUUGUAUCAUUGAAACUCGCAUAUUUAUACAGUUGGCUAUUCAGUAUUUGAACAAGUGUAGAGCAAAAUCAUAAAGAACUACAUGAAGUUCUAGCAGAGUAUGUAUAUAGCUGGCUGAGUAUUGGAGUGUGUGUAGAAGACAAAACUAUAUAGAAAGCAGAGUCAGUGACAAGAUAUGGCUGGCCAUAUAAUAUAUCACAAUUUAACGGGCAACGUCUAAAAAGAUGAGUACUACUACGUUUGAAAUGACUUAAAAAACUUACAUUAAAGGGCCCUGAGUGCAUCUUAAUGUGCGGUUAUGAUUUUUUUUAAUGAUCUUUACAUUUUUUAUCGAUGUUUCAAAUUCUCAAAGGAAGGCUAGCUGAGCGUUAUGAGGGAGACACAGUAAUGCUUGUUUUCUCAAUUCCUUUGUUAACCAUGUAUGGCCUCUUUGGUUCAUACGGGAACUUGGUAAAACCGUAUAAAUGGAGGAUUUUCCAUUUUGGGGUACUAUGUAUUUGUCUGGUUCAAAUGCAUGGAUGGAUAGACCAAACAAGAAAUGGAGGAAAUUUUCUCUUGAUCUCAAUUUCAAAUAAAAAAACAUAGGGAGUUUAAAAUCCACAUGGACCACUUUUUAGAGGUCAUACACACAUGAAAUACAAAAACAAGAUCUUUAGUGUCAUAAUAAAAUACUAAUUAUAUCUUCUCAUAUGGUGUCUUUAAUUUGUCUAUGUGAUAUUAAUGUUUUUAUAUUCAUGUGAACCAACAUCUAAAUUUGUAAAAUUAUCGUGUUUCCUAAAACUCUACUCUAUUUGGUUGCAUGCCACACCAUUCCUGUCAUAUUCUUGUGUUUUGCAUAUUCAUAUUACAGCAUAUGAAGCACCUCAACCGUGAGUCGGGCGAGCGUGCCAUUGGCGCCACCACACCGGCGGUGCACACUGCCUCAACGAGGGCCGCUUAGGAAGGAGUCCGGGUGGCGCACCUGUCGUGGCUCAACCGAAAUGAUGUCGCACGGUUGCGCUUGACGAAGAGCGGCCACCCUCCAGCUGAAGCACCACUAGGUGGUCUGCCUGUAAUCGACUGAGGAAGGUGUGUCUUUAAGCAUCCAGAAGAUUGUGAAGGCGUGUUUGAUCCAUUCGUCGAGAGCUGCCAAGCCCGGUCAUCUUCUGAUUCAUCUUGACCGCCCAAUAGUGUUAGGUGCACACUAGCACUAAUCCUCUUCCUCUCACGGCGGAUUACUCGCAGGAAUUUGGCUACACAAUCUUGGGAAAGAAGAAGUUCACAGAGAGGAGAAGAGAUACAGGUUACAACCUUUUCUUUUCAUUUUUGAGAAUCAGACACAGGUUAUAGCUAAGCUCUACAGCUGCCACCGGUCUUGCCAUUGAUCCUAGCCGGGAUGCCUCCUUUCCGAACCAAGCCCGCUACUUAUGCAGCGUUGGAGGCUUGUCACUUGUCUUCCUUGUUGUACAUGUACGAGUCCCACUACGGGCCUGAGGACUUGUGAUUAAUUGGCCAGCCAGCCUGUUGGGUUUGCAGGUCAGGUCAAAGAAGGAUGCAGAAGGGUGUUGGAGCGUUGCUGCUGUUCAGGUCAAAGAAGGAUGCAGAAGGGUGUUAUUUGCCAACAGCAAGUCACUGAAUCUAUGUGCAUAGCACAAGCCCGUGCUCGUGGUACCGUUGCCUACCAUUCCUAUCACCGUACAAAUUUUCUAGUCAAUGCCAUUGAGCAAUGUUAUUAAAGUGUACAACUACCAUUCUAGAGAAAGAGGCAGCAACAAAAACUCUAUUUAUAUAAGAGUAGUAUAUGCUAGAGAAGAAUACAGACUCUGUGUAAAGAGGCUGAACUCUGCCCAUGUCUGAGAGUUGGCUCAUCCAGUUAUUUCAUUUACUAUGGGCAUGAUUGGUUAAAAACUUGAAUUUAAUGGUGAGCAGAGAAGGUACGUAAGAAGAGCUUUUUUACGAUGAUUGGGUUAGUACUCGGAGUACUUAGCAGUACUUACAUGUCUGAUCACGUUUGAUUUUUAUUAGCCGUCAGAUCUUGCGGGGAAUUUUAAUUGAUUAAAUUUAAUAUGUUAAUUGCAAUAAGGGCAUAAUGGUCCAGGGGGAAAUAUCUUUUCUUGAACCGAUCACCUGAGGACCAGAUCCAUCUCUACUCGAUCCAGUUCAGAAUCCUCCUCCGAUCUAUUCAUCGCCGCUCGCCGCUCCUGACCUUCUCCGUCCUCGACCUGCCCGGCGAGAGGAAUAAAUUCAUCGUCCUCGUCCUCCACCCAACCAACCCUAGCCCCCCACGCCGUCACUGAAGAAGAAGAAGGCCGGAUCUGCGCCGGCUGAAUCGGCUGCGACCGCGGCGGGCGAUCCCAUCUCUUCGCGCGUACCAUCCUUAAGGUAUGAAUUCGGCUUGGCGUUCUGCUCGUUCUCUUGACCGUUGCGCCCCUCCACCGUGCAUGCAGUACAACCUCAACCCCACAAGAUCCGGGUACGGACUAGAACAACGAAUGGAAAGCUUCAUCGUGGCAUAGUUUCUCUUGAGCUAAUCGCAUCAUGUUUGUUUAAGUAAGAUGUUGAGGGCAUUGCUUACUUCCUUUGGUACCGCAGAAAAAAGUGACUUACUUGACGUUUGAGAUGAGAUAUACUAAAGGAAGAUGAGAUACUGGUUCCAUAGUUCACUUAAUUUAGUCUAUUAAAGUCAUCAUCACUUUAGGUUUGCAUAGUGCAUGAAAUAUAGUUUAAAGGAAGAUGAGAUACUACUUGUUGGACGUUGAUGGUUGGUUUCCCUCACAUGUCAAACGAGCAAAGUCUUUUCCAUGCGCUUGUCUUUGCCUAUGAGCUAUUUUACACCUGCAACAUUGAUAAACAGAAAGAUGUUGAUGAUUGGUUUCCCUCACAUGUCAUAUGCAGGAAGACAUGGCGUAUGCAAGUGAUGAGAGUAUGUUCGAGUAUCUAAAUGUUGUCAGCAAGAUGUUUGAUAGUGAGGCUGAAGGCUAUGAAUUCUACAACAAAUAUGCUCUUGAAAAAGGUUUUAGUGUGAGGAAAAGCUAUGUUGAGUGGGAUGGAUCCAACAAAUACAUAAUUUUAAGGAAAAUUGUGUGUAGUCGUCAAGGGUUUCACGAAGAGAAGCACAUGAAAAGAAAGAUGGAAGAUAGAAAGAGGAGGCCACGAAGUUUAACUCGUGUUGGGUGUAAUGCUAAAUUGGUCAUUACGAGACAGGAGGAAACCGGUCGGUGGUUUGUCAAGGAUUUCAUCGAUGAGCACAGCCAUCCUCUAGCCCCACGAGAUCUUUCUUGUCUGCUGCGUUCGCACAGACGAAUUAACGAUGAGCAGAAAGCGGACAUUGCGGACAUGGGAAAAUGUGGGAUCCGCAAAAACCGUAUUAUGGAUAUUUUGUGCUUUCAAUACGGUGGAUUUGAUAAGGUUGGAUGCAUAAAGAGGGACGUUUAUAAUUUCUUCCAUGCUAAUAAGCAGGAGACAAUCAGUGCUGGUGAUGCUAAUACGGUGAUCAUGCACAUGAUGGCGAGGCGAGAGCGAGAUGUGGAUUUUUUCUUCAAGUACUUGGUAGACGAGCAUGGCAAUCUGAAGGGACUGUUCUGGGCUAAUAGUCAGUCGCGACUUGACUACGAGGCUUUCGGAGACGUCAUUGUUUUUGAUAGCACAUACAAAACCAACAAAUAUAAUCUGCCAUUCGUGCCAUUUGUCGGGUUGAAUCACCACCGCAACACUGUUUUUUUGGCUGUGGUAUAAUUUCUCAUGAAACAAGCCAGGCAUACGAGUGGAUGUUGCGGACCUUUUCUGAUUGCAUGGCACAGAAGCAUCCGAUAUCUGUGAUCACAGAUGGGGACCUUGCAAUGCAGAGAGCAAUAAGGGUGGUCUGGCUAGACUCAAACCAUAGACUAUGUAUAUGGCACAUUCAACAGAACAUUGUACGCCAUCUGCAUGAUGACGACGUAAAGGAGGAAUUUAAAUCUUUCAUUUAUGAUACUUCUUCCAUUGAAGAGCAUGAGAUAAAAUGGAUACAAUUCUUACAAUGGAAUAAAGUAACCAGUGAGGAGUCUUGGCUGCAUCAGAUGUAUCAGAUGAGAAAGUUGUGGUGUGCUCCAUAUCUUGAGGGGCGUUGUUUCCUAGGAUUGAGCAGCAAUCAAAGGAGUGAGAGCUUGAACUCUGUGCUACAUACGCAUCUUGAGGGUAAGAUGUCGUUGUUUGAAAUGCUAGAGCACUAUGAGCGUUGCCUUGCGUCGCGACGGAUUAACGAAGCUCUCCAUGACGUCGAAGCCUUGUAGCCCGUUCCAUUUACAGAGGAAAAUGCUUCGCCGCUUAAGAAACAUGCCGCAACAGUUUUCACACCUAGUGUCUUUAAGAUGGUCUUAUGGAGGAUAGAUGCUGUCAGCAAAUGUCAGAUCAGAGAGAUACUAGAUGGAUCAGAAGAUUCCACUUAUGUUGUGUCCAAGGAGGAAAGAAUGGAUAAAAAGUUUGGAGUGCACAUUGAAGAGCGAGGAGGUCUUUUGCACAGGGUGAGUUGUUCUUGCCGUAAGCUGGAAUGCGCAGGCACACCAUGUUCCCACAUUUUUUACAUAUUGGGGAUUUUAAAACAAACAACUCUGCCGGGUUGUUGCGUUCUCACUAGGUGGACUAUGAAUGCAAAAUGUGCACACGCACCUACCAGAAAAAACCAGAUGUAUGACUAUUCGGUAAGCCUGCAGAGGUACCGCGAGUUGCGGAAUUGUAGUCACGCCGCAAGUUUCAAGGCAUGCCACUCUGAUGAGGACUAUCACCGUCUAAAGAUGCUUUUGCAAGCACAACAUCAUGGCAAGCAAUCAUGUUUUGAACAAGCUGACAGCAAGGACUCAACUAAUGUUCAGCAUAACAGCAUUAGGUUUGGCCCGUUGAUGCCACACUCGGAGAAAGUUGAUAAGGUUCUGGAUCCCGUGCAUGUGCCAGGACGAGGUGCAUCAAAGAAAAGGCUGCAGGCAAAGACAAAGAAGUCAAGAUCACAGAAUAUCUGUGGGUAUUGCAAGAAACCAGGUCACAAUCGACGUAAAUGCGCUAAAUUGCUAGAGGUACGAAAUAUGUUCAUAUUUAUUUUUUGCAUGUGUUUUGCACAUAAUUAUGUCCAUGUGAUUUAUUGUAUUCUUCUGUGUAGGAUCUCGAGGCUGAACUGUGAUAUCUACAUACAGCAUGAACCGACGAUGAGCCAGAGAACGUCGUGUGCCAUUCAGCUUUGUGUGACGUGGUCUUUACAUUCUAUUUCAUCGUGACAGUAAUUUAGUGAAGUGCGGUUGUACUGCCAUGUUACUGUAUUAGUUCGACAUCUUUCGUUUCCAUUUUCUGUGUGUAUCAUUUGAUGUCCAAAUUUAAGAAUGAUGAUGUAUUUCGAACAGGAAUAAGGGCUAGCAUGGAGCACUUGUUAUUGUCGAGUAAUAAUUAUUGUGAUGUAUUUCUGCACGCACACACGGCCGCCAGACGGAUCUCCCGCGCGAUCCCACGGUCUGCAUGGCUGGCUCGGUGCGUGUCCAUCAUUUAGGCGAGACUACCGACGCCAUGCAUGCAUGGCAGGCCGUUUUCCUACGUCGACCCAAACACCGGCCCAUCCGAGGUUGCAGCUCCGGACGGCCCACGUCUCGUACGAUCUCGCACGUUGUUUUCGUCUAACUAAAAAUAGUCCCACCUCGCCCCUCGAGCAGCUCCUUUACCUGCUUAAAUACCUUCAUCGAGGUGAUUUUAGCAAGCGUUGGUCCUCAUUAUAGGAUGACUAUGAUUCUUCAUCCUUACUAUGGUUGUCAUGCAUAUUCUUCAUUUAGAGAGCAAUAAUGACUGACAUAUUUUUUAAAUAAGUGGGGCCCAUUGGGGUGUGCUUGGAAAUCUUUGAGAAACCUCCAUGCACGUUCAUCUUCGCUGCAUGCAAAUCGGGCGGCAACCGCUGUGCCAGUAGCUGUCAAGGCCUUGAUGAAUCACUGUUCACAUGCAGGUCCCCGACUCUUGCAUGCAGGUCCCCGACUCUUGCAUGUAGGUCCUCAAGUCUUGCAUGCAGGUCCCGACUCUUGCAUGCAGGUCCCGACUCUUGCAUCCCGGAGGGUGUGUACAACUCUAGCUUGUUCUUGCCAACACUACUAGGAAAAGGCAUGCUAGUGGCGCACCGAUUUUGCCUUCUAAUGGCGCACUACUGGUGCGGCACUGGAUAUUGUUUUGGCUGAUGUUGUUUUGGUGCCAUUUUGGAUGGCUGCAGUGACUGUUUUGGUGCCAUUUUUGAUCUCCUAAUAUGGUUGCAGUGAUCAUUAAUUUUAGAGCAAAAUAUGGCUGUUAUUUUUUUUUGUUUUGUUUCAGAAACAGGAGAAACCAAAGGGUCCACGCCUCCCCUCCAGAGUUUUCGAGGGCCAAAGGGCAGGACGUUUGAGUUUUGGAGGCAACUCCCCACGUCUCCCCUCCACUGGCAACUCCCCAUGUCUCCCCUCCACUGGCAACUCCCCACGACCACGACGCAGGUAACUCCCCUCCUAUUCCAUUGCCGCUCCAUCUUCCUCCCUCUGCCUCCCUCCUCAUUCCAUUGCCGCUCCAUCUUCCUCCCUCUGCCUCCACCAUCAAGCAACUCCCAUCUGCCUCCACCAUUGCUGGCCAGGAGGGCAAUGGCGGAGGAAUCGUGGAGCAACUCCCCUCCAUCUGCCAAGAGAAUGGCGGAGGCAUCGUGGAGCAACUCCCCUCCGUCUGCCAAGCAUCACCGUGGUGAGGCGUCUGGCAAGGAGCCGCUGGUGGUCGACGACGACGUUCCGGUCCCCGGGCAGAAGCAGGACUACACCGUGCCGCUCAUGGUUGAUAUCCACCUAAAGGAGAAGCUGGAUAUCGUAUGCACCAGCAAUCCAGACGAAGCCGACAAGAGGAUCCGCGACAUGAGGAGAAGGCUCGGCGGCAUGGUUUCUCGUUCGACCGGCGUUGAUGUCGAGUAUACCAGGGAAGACGAACCUCCGCAAAUGGCUGCAGUUCUGCAGUUAUGCGUGGAGGAUCUCGUCCUGGUAUACCACAUCACCGCGGCAACCAAAUGGUAAAAACAUCCAGUUCUGAAGUUUCUGAAGUUCUGAAGUUUCUGUCUAAUUAGUAGUUUCUGAAGUUUCUGAAGUAGAUGCAAUAGUUCUGAAAUUUUGAAGUAGAUGCAAUACUAGUUCUGAAGUUCUGAAGUUUCUAAAGUUCUGAAGUUUCUGUCUAAUUAGUAGUUUCUGAAGUUUCUAAAGUAGAUGCAAUAGUUCUGAAGUUUGGAAGUAGAUGCAAUACUAGUUCUGAAGUUCUGAAGUUUCUGUCUAAUUAGUAGUUUCUGAAGUUUCUGAAGUAGAUGCAAUAGUUCUGAAGUUCAGAAGUAGAUGCAAUACUAGUUCUGAAGUUCUGAAGUUUCUGUCUAAUUAGUAGUUUCUGAAGUUUCUGAAGUUUCUGAAGUAGAUGAAAUAGUUCUAAAGUUCUGAAGUAGAUGCAAUACUAGUUCUGAAAUUCUGAAGUAGAUGCAAUACUAGUUCUGAAGUUUCUGUCUAAUUAGUAGUGUCUGAAGUUUUUUAAGUAGAUUAAUUUGAUGCACCAGAUUAAUUUGAUGCAGGACCAAGGAACUCCGCCCGCUCUUGCAGGAGAAGAAGCUGUACACCUUUGUUGGCUUCUCCAUUCGAGGUGACAAGGAGAAGCUGAAGUUGUCUGGUUUGGAGAUCAACCCCGACAAGUACGUCGACAUCCAGCGCAAAUGGAGGGUUCCAAACAAUGGAAAGAAGUGGCAGUCUUUGGCUGAGUUUGCAGGCAGCCUCAUCCACCCAUCCUACAAGGAAAUGAAGGGGAAGACCAACAAGAAAUUGGACCACAAACGAUGGGGGGACAGCCCACUGCCAGACAACCUCAUCGAGUACGCAGCGAAAGAUGUGUACAUCACCUACGAGGCAUGGAAGAAAAUCGAAACCGUCAAAGAAGGUUUGGAGCAAUGGCAAGAGGUGGGGGAUCAUUGGGAUGACCCCUACUACUGGGGAUAUUGAGUUGUUUGUUGUAUUAUGUGUCUCAGUUUGUAGUUAUGUGGUUGAACAAGUUUGCUUUUGUUAUGUUGAACAACUUUGCUUUUGUAAUGAUGAACAAGUUUGCUUUUGUUAAGUUGAACAAGUUUGCUUUUGUAAUGAUGAACAAGUUUGCUUUUGUUAUGUAGUUAUGUGAUUGUUAUGAUGCUGGUGCAGAACACUUAUGGUUGUGAUGUGAUGCUACUGCUAUAUAGUAGUGGCGCAUCACAUGACAGGUGCGCCAUUAGUGUCCAUUCCAUCUAUAGCCUUUUUCCUAGUAGUGCAAAAUGCAGCAUGAUGGACUGGCUGCAAUGGAAAUAAUGGUGACAAAUGCAAAAAAUGAAAUAUGACAAAAAAGCCCUCCUACUUGCCGCUUAAAGUUCACAAUUCAACGGCCUGCAUACGACUAGUAACCCAAUCAUUUAUUGGGCCAGGAUGCAGAGGCCCGUCAGAUUGUGAUAACAUGUAGCAAGUAGGCCCACAUGGCAGGGACGGAGACGGUAGGCAAUGUGCUGCCCGCUUUAGAAAGGAACUUGAGAGGGAAAGCUCAGCCCGCUAUAUAAACCGGUGCUAGCUCCGCUCGCUCGGCGAGGUGGGACUAAACUCCCUGCACCCCUGGGAUGUGCCCGGCGCGGGGCCUAAUUUGGAUGGGCCGUCCCACGCCAGCCUCACCCGCUGGAUCGCUGGAUGGACCGUUGGGCCAUCUCGUUGUCUGCACCUGAGGCAUGCAUGCAUGGGAAUGGCGGCGACGUGGGUUUGCAUGCGCGGGUGGCAGACGUGAACUUUAUCUAUCCGAACUAUGUUAUGAUUUCUACCCAAAACAAGUUCGCGUGCAACGCGCUCCCAUGCGACGCACGCCUCUCGCGUGAUACGCGAUUCCGAUGCGACUGCGUGCCAAGUUUUAUAGAUGGAAACUUCUUUAGAUGCAAUGCCAUCUCAAAAACAACUCAGAAACAACUGUAUGAUUGAUCAUAAAACACAUGCAUUGUUGUUCAAAGAACUGUCUCAGGAAUAAAUUGUACCAUAAUUGCGAACAUAGUGUGAAACAGAAAAAAAUGUUUGUUUGAAACAAAAUAAUCCUGGUUUAAAGCUUAAACUGGUUGAAAAACAAUUGAGCCUACUCCAUAUUGUCUUCUGCACUGCCAAAAUCCAGUGACCUCUUGCGUUGCGUCGUUGGAGAUUGCGCCGGGCUUGGCGACGACCCAUGUGCUUCAAUCUUUUUCUCUUUAACAUCAAUGUAACCAUACACCUUAAGUUGUUCUUGGUCUUUCUCUGCCAACUCUCUAGCAAGACCCUCCAUUUCUUGGAUUCUCACUUCUUGUAGAAAACCAUAGGAAUUGUAUUAGGAAGAACUCAAAAAAGACGUAGCCAUAAACUAGAUGCAUGUAACAUGUAAAAUUUGAACCUCUGAAUCAAUGUCAUCCUCGGUAAAACAACCCGUAGUUCUAUUGUACACAAUGUAUAGGUGACAUGUCUUGCUGCCAUUCAGAUCAGAAAGCAUUUUUUGUACAUCAUCUGGUCCUGCAAUCAAGAACAUUCCUUCUGGCAGCUUCCACGCAGACCCGGGUAAGAAGUAGUACAGUUCUGCUCCCAGUUUGCAACCAAAAGUAUCUUUCAUUUCACUCAUAAUGAGAUCGUAGGUCACUUUGGCGGGUUCAAAAACUCUGACUUCUGCCGGGUGUUCAUCAAAGUAUGCUCUCGGGACAUGUGACAUCUCGUCAUCCCUACUAACAAAAAAUUCCGUGACCAGCACCUAGUAUCUCACAUCAGAGUUAAUACAUUCAAUGAGUAAAGGGGCAAACAUAAUUUUUUAUGUGCAUAGCAACAUUGCGGCAUUGUUACCUGCUUUUGUGGAAUGUAUCCUUCAUGUGGAGUGACUGGGGAUUGUGCCAUCUCAAACCUUCUCACCUUGUUAUGUGGAAUGUAUCCUUCAUGUGGUCUGACUGGGGACUCUGCCAUCACAGGUUUCUAAUCCUGCGUAUGAAACGUCGACAGUGGGUUUACACACAAGUUUUGAAAGGUCAUACCAUAUCUUGGGUAUGCAUCGUUGUGAGGUACUUACAAGGGGAGAAUUGACGAUAUGUUGUUGGGGUGGACUGAUGUGGCAUUGAACGGGUGACUCUAUCGCAAUGUCUCGAGUGAAUGGCGACUGUGCCGUCUCAUGAUGCUUAGCCUACAUACAAUCGCCGACAUAAGGUUGCCACAAAUUGAAGAUGUUUGUAUCAUAGAAUACGUAGGUCCUUAAUAUAUAGAAUCGGUGCGAGAUACUUACAGGGGGAGAAUAAUUGAAGACAUGUUGUCGGGGUGGCUGUGAGAUCGCACGGUCUUCUAACAUAUGUCCUUCCCAGCGGACCUUCUCCAGCAUGGCCUUAUAAUCCAUGUCCGACCGCUCCUGUAGCAGCUUACUGUCCAUAUCCGGACGUGCCUGCAACACAUACGCAUCCAUCCUGACUCGCUCUGUCUGUAUAAUACUGUCCACAAGCUUCCGGUCCUUCUGCAACGUUUGAUGCAUUUCCUUGUAGCCAAGGACAAACUUUUUUCCAUGUACUCACAGUCCCGCUUAUACUUUUCUUCAAUCUCAAGACGCAUCUUUGCCAUCUUACGGGAAAACUCCUCACGCUCCUCCUUUAUCAUCCUGUCCACGUAUGAACGUUCUUUUUUCAGUUUCUUAUCUACCUCAUCGCGAUCCUUUUGCACCUUCAAGUCGAUCACCCGGCAUGCUUCAUGCAAAGACUUGUCGUACUCGGCACGGUUGUUACGCGCCUCUGAGACCAUGGUCCCUACAGCAACACGUAUACCCAUAGUAUGAAAACUGUAUCCACAACCUCAUCCUACUAAUUCGAAACAAUAUGACCGUGAAAAAAUAUUCAGAACCAGUUCGUACGAUCAACUACUACAAACUAUCAAUCAAAAAGCUCUUGCAUGACAUCCUGUACUCGAAUUACACCAGAACUACUCAACUAUGGCAAAACCUGGAUUUUCUAAUCUCUUCAGAAAUGACUUCUUGGCCGAAUCAAUGGAAAAAAUAAUCAGCACUGCAAUCGAAGGUGGGAGGAGCCGUGGAGGAGACCUUUUUAAUCCGGCGUCGGCGUGGUCGCUUGAGAAGCGAUGGCGCGAUCCCGGCGAUGGCUAUGUGAGGAGAAACAAGGUAGAUGGGGGUGGUUAGGAUAGGGUAGAUAUGCGGUAUAAUGGGAAGGUAUAUAUCCGUGAUUGUAGGGUUAAUUAGUUAUUUUGAAGUAAUGCGCUUCGAUGCAAGUUUUUAUUUUAACGAGCGUGAUCUUUUCGGGGCUUCCAAAACAUGUGCACUGACUGCGGGUCCAACCACAUAUCACAGAAGCCCGAGCCAUCACCGUGCCCAUGCCAAGCUGCCGCCCACCAUUGCCUCCCUUUCCCUUGCCCCACCAAAUUGUUAUUCUUCUGCGGCGACGAAGCCUGCCAUCGCCGGCGGACGGUGAGAGACGAGAGAUGUCCAUGUCCAGUUCGGCCUCUCCGUCAUCAUGGCCGCGGUAUGGUUCACUGCCGAUGACCAGAUGCCCCGACUGCCCACGCAUCGCGCCACUGAAGCGUUUGAGAACCAUAUCGGAGAAGAAUGGAAACCAUGGGCAGGAAUUUGUGAAAUGCGAGAGCAAACUAGAAGCAGGGAAGGUUAAAUCUAUGUUCUGUUGUGUCUUUUUGCUAUGAAUUCUGACCCCAGAUUUAUAUUUAUUUCCUCGGAAUUGUGAUUUAGGGUUUCCCUUCCCAAUUUCAGAAGCUGAAAACAUGCAAGCAUUUUGAGUGGCUGGAUGAAUAUGUUGAGAGGCUUCAAACGGAUGGCUUAAUUGAUUUGCCCAUUGAUUUGAGGCACGAGGCAACCCUAGAGGCAGAUCUGCCAUCGGCGGUGGAUAAUAAGGGCUAUGCCAAUGUUCCUCUGAUGAUGGCGGAUGCAGAACUCAAGGUGGAAUCGAAGAAGAUGAACAAUAACUUAAGGCAGUUGAUCGAUCUGAAUAAGCACGCAAAUCUGAUGGCCGUGGGAUUUUACUUUUCAAUAAUUGUUGUGGGAUUUGUUUACUUGUUGAUCAUAACUCAUUAGAAGUUGUUAACAAAUUAUUUCAGUCAGCUUCUGUAUAAGCAAUGUCAUUUGUGCUUAAUGCCUUGUAUGACCAGACCAAGGAAAAGCUCAUUUGUAAUCUAUUGGGAAGGACAAAUAAAAUUGAAAACUGAUUUCUUGUUUCCAAAAUAAAAUUUGUGCUUAAUGCCUUGUAUGACCAUAUUCUGCCAUGUCUUGGGGCACAACACGAUGAGGCAGUUUUUGUUUGAACAACAAAUUUGUUAUGUUAGCAAAUUUGUAACUUAUUCUUCUCUAAAAAAGGAAGAGCAAUAAAUUCAUUCCAAGAAUUUGCAGAAAUAAUUGUCAACCCAUUUUUGUUGGUAAUUACGAGAUAUGUUUGGCGCAAUUAGUGGCUAACUGGUUUUUUUUGAGGAAUAGUGGCUACUUGGUUUGAUACAUGCCAAACGUUACGUUCAGAUUAGUUGCAUUAUUUCGUUCAUUUUUUACCCAAAAAAUCUAUACAAAGUGUUAAUUGGACAAUGUGAACAAUGUGGCAUGAAGGUUGUCGGAUGGUACCGGAUGGAAUCCAUUGUAAACCAACCCUAAACCCUAAACCCAAAAAACCAAAAAACCUGAACCCUAAACCCUGANNNNNNNNNNNNNNNNNNNNNNNNNNNNNNNNNNNNNNNNNNNNNNNNNNNNNNNNNNNNNNNNNNNNNNNNNNNNNNNNNNNNNNNNNNNNNNNNNNNNNNNNNNNNNNNNNNNNNNNNNNNNNNNNNNNNNNNNNNNNNNNNNNNNNNNNNNNNNNNNNNNNNNNNNNNNNNNNNNNNNNNNNNNNNNNNNNNNNNNNNNNNNNNNNNNNNNNNNNNNNNNNNNNNNNNNNNNNNNNNNNNNNNNNNNNNNNNNNNNNNNNNNNNNNNNNNNNNNNGGGAUGCCAUGAAGAAAGUUAGGGAUCAUUAGUACAUGUACACGCAAGUACGAUCUCUGACACGCACAUUUCCGGUCCCUCUACACGUACAUGUAAACCAACCCAACAUCGAUCCGGUUCAGUGGAUGGAUGCAUGCUCUAUGUGGCACGAAGUAUGUCGGCCAAGACAGUCGACAGACCAGAUUGAUGCUACCGGAGGGAUUCCAUUGUAGACCAACACUCGACCUAUGUCCGGUGUGUGUGAUAGGUACACUGUAAGACAAACAUAGUAACGUCAACCCUAAAACCCUAAACAGUGAUAACCCUAACCCCCCCCACUAAACCGUAAAAACAUUCAAAAUUUUGCCCCACAUGGAAACCAUUAUGCAUGCAUUCUCUAUGGGGUCAUGGGAUGCCAUGAAGAAAGUUUGGGAUUAUACACGCAAGUACGAUCUCUGACACGCGCAUUUCCGGCCUAGCAUGUCAACACCCCGAAAGCACUAGCUGGGUUCCUCACCUGUAUGAAACCAACCCAACAUCGAUCCGUUCCACUGGAUGGAUGAAUGCUCUAUGUGGCACGCAGUUUGUCGGCUGAGCCAGUCAACGGACCGGAUCGAUGCUACCAGAGGGAAUCCACUGUAGACCAACACUCCAUCAAUGUCCGGUGUGUGUGCUACGUCCACCGCAAGACAAACAUAGCUCUGCCAACCCAUAAACCCUUAAACCCUAAACCCUGAUAACCCUAACCCCCCCCACUAAACCGUAAAAACAUUCAAAAUUUUGUCCACAUGGAAACCAUUAUGCAUGCAUUCUCUAUGGGGUCAUGGGAUGCCAUGAAAAAAGUUUGGGAUUAUACACGCAAGUACGAUCUCUGACACGCGCAUUUCCGGCCUAGCAUGUCAACACCCCGAAAGCACUAGCUGGGUUCCUCACCUGUAUGAAACCAACCCAACAUUGAUCCGGUCCAGUGGAUGGAUGUAUGCUCUAUGUGGCACAAAGUUUGUCGGCCGAGCCAUUCAACGGACCGGAUCGAUGCUACCGGAGGGAAUCCAUUGUAAACCAAUGCUCCACCAAUGUCCGGUGUGUGUGCUACGUCCACCGUAAGACAAACAUAGUUCCGUCAACCCUAAAACCCUUAAACCCUAAACCCUGAUAACCCUAACCCCCCCCCCACUAAACCGUAAAAACAUUCAAAAUUUUGCCCCACAUGGAAACCAUUAUGCAUGCAUUCUCUAUGUGGUCAUGGGAUGCCAUUAAGAAAGUUUGGGAUCAUUAGUACAUAUACAUGCACGUACGAUCUCUGACACACGCAUUUCCGGGCUUGCAUGUCAACACUCAACCCUAAACCCUGAUAACCCUAACCCACCCCCACUAAACCCUAAACCCUAAACCCUGAUAACCCUAAACCCCCACUAAACCCUAAACACUGAACCCCUAAACCCCUAAACCCUAAUAACCCUAAACCCCUAAACCCCUAAACGAGUUGACAAGAUUUUCUUAUUUCUUUAUAUCAUUUAUCGAAAUCUCACAUAACUCACGCGGCCCACCCCUCCCUAAAUCCCGCGAUUACAGCUCCGCAUUCUAACCACCGGGCCGUCCGCACCUCCCACGACCGCUGCAAGAUCAGAUCAGAGACGCCGGUCGCCCACGGAAUACAGGAGUCGGCGGCCACCACUCGCCGCCCACCGCCAACAUGAUCUGAGGGCUCGGACGUCAGUGUUCUUCUCGCCGCCUCCUCCUCGCGUGAACGCGCCGUUUUUCCUUUGCGCCGUCGACCGCGCUAUAGCAGCACUUAUAGUUUCCCACACACUAACCGCCACCAUCUACUCGGUGGCACCGUCUCCGAGAUAAGGUAUUACCUGAUUGUAACUCUUUAUAAUCGUUGUCCGCCGCUCCUUUAGUAGUUGAACCCUCAUAGGUUUUGCACCCAAAUAGGUUCUGUGCUUAAACCCAUAAGUGGAUCAUAUGUUAAAUGAUCCAGUUAAUUUUAUGAAAAUUAAUUCUCUGCUAAUUUUGUUAUACAUUUUCCAAUUUUGUUCAGAUUAAUUGAGCCGGAUUUUAUCAUUGCAUACGAGCCAGCAAUGUCAGUUUCAGAUACGAACCUUCAUAAUGGAGAAAAGCCCAUCUUCGAAAUUACGAAUGCGGUAAGUAAUUGACUGUUUGUGUACAAUCGUUUCGUACACAUAAUUCAUGUGUACUCAGUAUUAUUUAAUGUCAUGUAACAAGAACUCGCCAAAAAGCAUGGUCAUAUGAAGUUAGUAUGCUCACAGACAAGGUUUGGAAAAACCAUGAAACUGUUGUCACAAGACCAUAAAAAGUACAUCAUAUCAGAAACCAGUCUUGGCGGUCUAACCCAGAUGCAUGAAGUGACUCUACGGCGCAUAAUGUUGGUUAGACUAGCCAAGAGCAUAGAUAUGGACAUGCAAUCCAUUACCAUCGGUCAAACGCCAAUUCCUAUAACAAAAGAGGACGUGCAAGGUAUAUUUGGCAUUUUGAUAGAAGGGGAGGAUAUAGAGCCACAUCUGGAAAUGCAAACUGACACGGAAUUGUUUACCUCCUAUGCAAACAAUGGGCAAAUUUUGAUUUUUGACCUUGAAACGGCGAUCCGAGCUUCCAAAGCCCUAGACGGCGAUUUCCUGAGACGGUUCAUUCUGUACGCAAUUGGUACUGUUCUAGCACCAAUAGCACAACAUUAUGUGGACUCGAAAUUUCUCAACCUUGUUACAGAUCUUGAAAACCUUCGGAAAUUUAACUGGGGAUGUUUCACACUUAAUCACUUCUUCAAGUCCGUUCACAAGUUUAGAAAUCGAGAUCACGUAAAUCUACAAGGAAAUCUAAUUCUGCUCCAGGUUAGUGAUAGAUCACUACUUAAUGUCCUUUAAUUAUUGUUCUGUUGCAUAUCAGUAUGGUGAUGAACUAAUUUAUUGUGUAGUAUUGGUACUGGGAGCACGUGCGUAGUGGCCGAUUAAUGUAUGCUUCUAGACCCCCUCCAUUGAUCGCACAAUGGGACGAAAUGAUGGCUACUUUAAGAAGUGAUGCUUACGAGAAAGGAGGUCUUCAUAACGGGCUGGUACCUAUCUACAAUUGAACUUUCUAUAUCCGAUUUUUAUUUGGUACAAAUGGUUCAUUAUAUUUUAUAAAAAUAGGCUGUCAUGGAAAUUUGUGCUCCUCAACGACCGUCCGAGAAUUCUAAUAAUUUUCCAAGAAAAAAAGAUGAACAUGUGCAUCAAUAUGAUUCGUAUCGAGCACCAUCACAAGGACAUCAAUUUAGUAGCCAGCAAGUAUGUACUCCAAGGACUAUUUGUUUUUGCAAUAUCACAAAUAGGUGUCAUGGAACCUCAUUCAUUUAGCUAUUGUUAUCAACGGGGUUUUAUUUUGUUUACACAGAUUGAAAUGGUAGUUGAAGUCAUGAAUGCAUGCAUUGCUGAUCAUGAAAAGAAGGUAGGCAGGAAGUUAAUGGAAAUUGAGCACAAAUUUGAUUUCAAAUACCAUACUCUAGGUGAAGACUUGAUCGACCUGAAGACUAAAACGGGCACUAAUCCUAGGUUGUCGAAGGCCGAGGACGAAAUUAAAGACUUAAGGAGGAAACUCCAUGUAUGUCAUACUGUGCAUUUUGUAUUUUUUAUGAAUAUGUUCCUUCAUGUUCAUUAUUGUUUGCAUUGUUACAGGAAAUAAAAUACGAAUUUACAAGCAACCGACAAUCAGUGUCAUAGAAAGGAGGCGUGCAGGUGAUCAAUAUGGCCCAACACGUCAAUAUCUAAAAGUAACAAACUAAUGAUGAACUACAUUUCUUCAUUGUAGGAUCAAGUCAAUGUGUGCAAUUCAUCCCUGACAGGAACUCCUAGGGCUAGCCAAUUCACGACAGGGACUUCGAGUACACCAAGUGCAAGACAUGUGACGGAAAACAAUGAGGAACCACAAUUAACUCCGAUGAAGCCUGUCUUUGGUAAUGAUUACAAGUUCACGGAUGAGGACAUAGAGACAGCCGUUUACAUCCGCGGAACAUACGACCCUGUUAAAAUAGCUAGAAUCGGAGACAUUUCCCUCACAGCAGAAAAUCUGAAGCGAAGUUUGGACGACAAAUACAUUUAUGGUGAUGUAAGCCCAUUAUACUCUAUUCUACAUCAUUACUGCAACAACUGUCUUAUUAUUGUAUGAUUGAAAAUUUGGCAGGUUAUUAUGGCAUAUGCUCGCAUUAGCCAAAUUCAGAAUGAUACUACCUCAAUCAUAUCCCCUCAAGAAACCGAAAAGCUGUUACAAAUGAAGGGGGUGGUUCCUGUUGGACGUGCAGCCUCAUGGUUAGCUCGUCUAGCAGGAAAAUUUGUAGGGCGCCGAAAGGUACACGUUUUCCACACUUUCAUAGUUUACGUACACACUGUACACGACAAAUUUCGGUUCUCAACCCAACCCAAAUUUUACUGCAGUUGCAUGUCCCACUGAAUGUACACCAAAACCAUUGGAUGCUAAUGAUGUUUAAUUUUGACAAAAAAGAAAUUCAGACUCUGAACUCCAUGAAUUAUCAUUGCGACAAGACCAAGGAAGAUUCUCUUGUAAGUGUUGUCUUGCUGCCUCUUUUGAUCCGCAUGGAACAUGAGCUCCCAAAGUACCGUAACCCUAUGUAUAACUCGUCGUACCCUAGGUGGACUCGAUUCAGUUCUGCAUUGACGAAGCUGUCAAGAAAGGGUUGAUAUCACCAGCUAAUAACACCAAUUUUGCCGAAUGGACAAAAAAACGCUAUGAGAACAUACCACAACAGACCGAUGGGUACGCAUGGCCUCAUAAAUUAUUAUUUGCGUACACAAAUAAGAUUACUGAUCUUUAACUAAACAUCGCAGGACUUCCUGUGCGGUUUGGACACUACAGUACAUGUUGUCAUGGAACAGGGAUGAAAUGACUGAUAUUUUGUACCAGGUAAUUGAAUGCCUAAUUUAAAUUUGUACUUUGUUUAGCUUGAAAGCUAUCCUGACGUCAGUGUCGGUUAUCCAAUAUAGGCAAGGAUAGAUAUUUUCAGGUGGAAAAUAUGUACAGCCUUACUGCAUUCAAAUUGCAAUGCACUUCAUCUCGAAUCAUAUAAGUUCCCCAUAACGGUUAGCGCUACAUGAAGAAUAUAUCAUUUAUUUCAUAAGUCUCAUGAUUAGAACUAAUGCAGCACUCUCUCUUAUACAGAAGGAGGUGUACGAUGCCCAGCAAGCAGUUCUACCUGAUGCUUCAGAAGAGGACGUACAAUUAGUCAACAAUCCUAAUGGUUCCAACGAACCUGACACGUCCAACUCCCAGAAGGAUACCGGUGCACCCAACUCCCCCAAAAGGAAGAGAGCACGUGGACGCCCGAGAAAGCUAGUCGAUCCUGAGCAAGCAGCAAAAACAAAGAGUCUUAAAGAACUGAAACUUAAAUUUGACAGCAAGACCAUAGCCAACCAAGUGUCUUCGUUACCAUCACGGUCACGCAGAGAGCAUAAACCAGCACCAGCUUUAUUGAGCCCAUUCAAACACAAAUAGGUAGCAUCAAUUGAUCAUCAAUUGAUACAUGCUCAUGCUCAUGCUCUACUUCUAGCAUCGUUUGAUACACGUUUUGUUCUUAUCAGAAAGUGGAAAUAGGUACUUUUGGCAAUCAUGAGCAUCCUCUACUUAUUGCAAUAUCUAAUGCAUUGAUACAUUCUCAUGCUCAUGCUCUACUUUUAGCAUCAUUUGAUACACAUUUAGUUCUUAUCAUAAAGUGGAAAUAGAUACUUUUGGCAAUCAUGAGCAUCCUCUACUUAUUGCAAUAUCUAAUGCAUUGAUACAUUCUCAUGCUCAUGCUCUACUUUUAGCAUCAUUUGAUACACGUUUAGUUCUUAUCAGAAAGUGGAAAUAGGUACUUUUGGCAAUCAUGAGCAUCCUCUACUUAUUGCAAUAUCUAAUGCAUCAUCAGUACAAAGCUUGAUUUGGCAAUAGGUGGAAUCGGCAAUCAUUUGCAUGCUUUAAUUUUGUCAAAAAUUAAUGCAUAGUUCAGUUGUAACUGUUCAUAGAUAUGGCAGGAACAUGCUGAGUUAUACACUAAACAUAGUCAUGCGAAGCUAUAACUACCAUAGUCAUAUUAUUAGAGUUCCUAGCAUGCAUCACCGUACGGCAGAAUAACACAGCAACCUUAACAUAGACCACCGUACGAUACUUGUGUUGCUAAGGCCUUGUACAAUGCAUGGUGCUUAGGAGAGUUGCUUAUAGAAAUAAACCAGGCUUUUCUUAAGCACAUGUGCCUAUUUGUACAGGGUAGACGCAUAACUAGGCGUCUCUCCUGUAGAAAUAGGCACCGGUGCUUCAGAAAUACCCUGUUUAUUUUUCUAAGCACCACCCUAAGCAUCUAGCAUUGUACAAGGCUUAAACAUGCAUCGCCAAAAUAGUAUUAACAACUAGGAACACUAAACCAGAGUAGCAGCAAACUCUUAACAUAAACGGCAGAUCAACCACCGCUCAGCAUAGGUUCAGACACACCAUAGGACAUCAGUUUUAGACUCCAACAACGAACAAACAUAGAUAACAUAACAGGACACGGCGGUCCUGGGGCAGCAGCAGCACUCUAGCAGCACAUCACUUCUCUCCCUUCUUCAAUGCAUGUUGUAGGGCUCAUUGACUUUGACAAUCUCGAGGAAGCGUGCGUAGGCAGCAUGUUUAGCCAGAGUACUGGCUUUAUGCUUCUUACCAUGUCCAUUGCCAGUUCUAAAGGCAUGCUGGAUCAUGCCAUCUAUGCCGCCACCGAUCACCUUGCAACAGAAAGGGCACCCAAUCUUGCCAAAGAAACGGUACUUGAUCUUCCCAGCAAUCAGAUGCCUCAGGUUGUACCGGCUCUUGCUGUUCCUGCUGUCCAUGCUGUAGUCACGUCGUCGUCAUCCUCCUGUGAAUUAGUGAAUUAGUACACAUAGAAGAACUCAGCUAAUCUAUUAUGGUACAUUGACUUUAAUUACAAUGUUUUGAAAGUACACAUGUGUAACAUGGCAACUAUCUAUUUGCUAGAAACAAGGCGUAUGUGCACAUACAUAAUUGAGCCAAAGAAAUUGACAUGCAUAAAUAUGGACGGUGGAAUAGUUGCAUUUAUAGAUUAGUGCACAAGUAGUACAUAAUUAACACAUGAAAGACUUCAUGAAGUGGCUUGGUUUAAUGAUAUUUGAUACUUGUUACAGGUGUAAUUAUUAUUGGAAUCAGAAAAAUGGCUUCAUUAUACUCCUCCAUGUUUCACACAAGGGGGUUUUGUUCUAUCUACUGGAAUGAAGAAACCAUUAUUCUUUCUGACAGCGGCAAUACUGCUCAUAUUGAUGAGAGAUGUGGCUGUGAUCAUCUAGAUAACAUACUAUGGAAAAUAGGCUAGAUGAAAUGUUUUGAUUUUUUGGUAUCUAGUGGAUAUGUACUGUCAGCCCAUAAUUAUUAAGGGAGCGAUCACUUCCUUUGCAAAAUGGAAAUCUGUAUAGAAUUUGCAAAUGGAUCAUCUAUGAACAUGUGUGCAAACUAAUCAUCUAUGAACAUGUGUGCAAAUUAAUUCAUCUACAUAAACUAAAAUGAAUCAGGAACUGCAGCAUUUUGUCACUGUCCUUGGGAAGCCAAUGGAGAAUCCUCCUAUAUAUCCAUUGUUUAACCCACUUUUUUCAUUGAUGUAUCCCUGCCAUGAACAUUUUCUUGUAUUUGGGUUCAUUACCCCACUACUUUCAUUAAUGUAUCCCUUGUGAAACUUAUGCUCAUCUAGUUAACAAGACAAACCCCAAUGCCACGAAAAAAACCCAGAGUAUCUGCUGGAAUCAGAAUGUGAAUCAGAUUUAAAAAUCCACAUCCAACAUGAAGAUCUAUGCUAGAUCCCUACAAUCCUACAUAUGUAGAACUAGCACGCCCAAGUGAAAUUGAUGCUCAUCUAGUUUACAGGAAAAACCCCAAUGUCAUGAAAAAAACAGAGCAAAAAAUAGAGUACUACCUCAAAUAGCUCGUCGAUGGCAUCCUCGUCGAAGUCGCUGCCCUUCCUGCAAUCUACGUCGAACUCCUUUAUGGCCUUCUCCUCGAAGAGCUCUUCGAUUUCGUCAUGCACCAUGCGCUUACGCCUUCUCAUCUCCUCCUCCUCCAGAUCUUCCCCGACCUUGUGCUCACCGACGGGUGCCUCGACGGCUGCGAUGGCAGCGGGAGCAGGCACAAUGGUCGCUGCACCGGCAGCUUCCGCCGCUACGGCGGACUCUGCCGCUCCACCUACGGUUGCAGCCACGGCAGCAGACUGCGCUGCUCCGAUGGUUGCCUUCAGCUCAUCCGCCGCAUCUUCACGUUCACGCUUCAUCGUCGGUCGAAGACAGGAGGAGGGAGGCGUAGGAAGGGAGGAGGGUGGUGAGGAAGGAGGAGAGGGUGGUGAGGAAGGAGGAGAGGGUGGUGAGUUGGUGAGGAAGGAAGAGAGUGUGGGGAGAGGACGAGGGUUUUCUACCCGAUUUGGGGAACAAAUGCACUGCUCCUGCCUCUUGGAGUUACCGAGAAGCCGCGGGUGCCGAUUUGACUUGACACACCCACCCGGCCGUCCCCAUUCCACGUGGGGACGUGGCGGUCGUGCACCUCCUGCGGUUUGCCAUCAAUUGCUAUCGGUCUGACAAGUGGGUCCCCUUGUCAUCCACACAACCGAGCCACCACAUGUACCACAUUUUUCUUUCU